GACGAACGCUGGCGGCGUGCUUAACACAUGCAAGUCGAGCGGUAAGGCCCUUUCGGGGGUACACGAGCGGCGAACGGGUGAGUAACACGUGGGUGACCUGCCCUUAGCUCUGGGAUAAGCCUGGGAAACUGGGUCUAAUACCGGAUAUGACGUCCAUAACGCAUGUUGUGGGGUGGAAAGCCUUGUGCGGCUAGGGAUGGGGCCCGCGGCCUAUCAGCUUGUUGGUGGGGUGAUGGCCACCAAGGCGACGACGGGUAGCCGGCCUGAGAGGGCGACCGGCCACACUGGGACUGAGACACGGCCCAGACUCCUACGGGAGGCAGCAGUGGGGAAUCUUGCGCAAUGGGCGAAAGCCUGAC
rnacentral:rRNA from 1 species